UAGCAAUGGUAAGUUCUAGAACGUUCUCGAAUUUGCAACGCACAGCUCGUUAUUGUUUAGUCCCAGAACGUUCUAGAAUUUUCUACACGUGGGCUACGCGGCGUUCGUGAGCGACGAGCUUGAUUGGGGUUGAAUGUCUUUUGUUUGAGCCGUUCCCAAAUCAUUUUCAGUGAUAAGACUUUUCUGUUUUACAAUCGAAAUAGAUUUAAUCGUAUAUAGGUAUAUGUGUCCUAACGGUUUCUAGUAAAACUGAUAAUCAAUCAUUAUCACCUCUGAAGAACGCGGUAAAUGAAUAUAAAACGCACGUCGAUAUCGAAGAAAUCAAACUAGUCAAACGUUUUGGUAGAUCGAAUUUGGAUUUUAAUUAGAAAAUUGGUGCUAGCGUAGACCUAGUAAAUCGAAAUUGUACAAAAAUACGAUGUGCUCUUGGUAUAGACUUACUGGUACCCACAGAAUAAACAUAUUUUAUCUUCGUUCUCUUAGAUUUAGUUUAGUGUAACACGAUACAUUCCAUUAAUUUAAAGUUUGCUUAUUAUUAAUUUAUUCUUCGGCUUGUACAGUUAUUUAUGUAAAAUGUAGUUUAAUGUAAUUUCACAGAAGCGUUUUAUGUGUUAAUUUGCUUUAUGACAAAUUAACACAGAGGGGAAUCGUUACGUUUAAGAUUUGUUUUUUCUUUGUUGAAAUAUAUUUUGUUAUUAUUUAUUUCUUUCUUUGUAAGAUCAUGUGUGUUAAUAACGAUGUCAUUGAACUAUUCUUUUUUAACUUUUUUUUUUUGUAUUUUGUUUAUUUUGUACGACACUCGAUUUUAUUUUUGUAGUGAUUGAAUUUUUCUUAAUGGAAGAAGUUUUGUUCCUGUUAUUUUAUUUCGUUUUUUUUCUAAUUUAUGUUUCUUUUAAGUGCAAAUAAAUUUAUUGCUUUUA